CUGCGUUCGUCUCGUUACGAGGGGAUGAAGGGACUGUGUAUGGUUCUGGUUCAAUCAUGCUUCACGCAACGUCGCUGAUACAUACGAUCAACUGUCAAGUGGGGAAAGCGGUAAUACCUGAAAGACGGAAAUAGAUGUAAAUUUUCCAGCUUUCGGGACGUUUUGAAAAAAGAAAUGAUCCGCAUGGAGCGAAACGAAACCUUAUCUCGAACCGAAGUGUCACGUUACAAAACAUUGGAGACUCGGCGAUGUUUACCAUGGAUGAAACGGCGCUCGAGUCGAAUGAGAUAGAAGUCAAAUGGAAGUCGAAUGGGUGUUUCGUCCGGACGACAUCGACGCCUCGCUUCGACUCGUUUCUUGUUGUCACACACCGUCCGAGCGUCGUGCCUUUAUUCGUACUCGCGUGUACACAGAUACACACGGUUAGCCCGGCAUACGUGGCAGGGACACACGUAUAGGAAGGCGAGGAACGCAGAUUGCUAGAGGCGCUGUUCCGCUGACCUACUCUACGAUUAUCACUCACUAUAGCCCGAUCGCCGGUGCAGGUGCGUGUGCGUUAACUAGCGUUGCCAACUAUACCUCCUCGAGGAAAGGAGGACGCGGCGCGGGGACGUAAUCAAAUAAACAUUUUCGGUCCUUUUACCCAUUUCUUCUCCUCCAACCCGAUCUCUUUUCCUCCAAAAGUAAUUUCACGUCCCGAGGAAGGCGCGAUAUUUAUCUCGAGCUUCUUACUCCGGGAUUCCUUAUUGGACGAUAAUAUUAAUCUUCGCCACGAGUUAUAUCGAAAGGUUUUUCUCAAAAUUUUAUCAUCUCGUGAAAUUUCCUCCGUAACACAUUCCGCUAAUAUUUUCAAUUAUUGUAUCGAUCGAUUACGGCGAGUUUAUCCAUUUAUCAGCGUACCUCCACGUUUUAAACGUCUAAUUUUCAUCUUGUAAUUGAAUCGAGACGCAACGAGGACAGUGCGGCCAUUGAUUGAAUCUAAUCAAUGAUCGUUAGUGUUAGUCGCGAGCAAUGGUCUUAUGUACGGUAUAUUCACGAAUAAGUAUAACUAUUCUUGAUUUAUAACUAAUAAUAAUCGUAAAUAUCGAUAUAAUAUAUAUCGAUCAUUUAACAAUUAUAGCUAUAAAUUAUGGAACAUAAAUAAUUUAUUUGUUCUAGCAAUUAGUGCCAAAUUAUUAAAUUAUUUAUGAAAAGAUUUCGUGAAACAAUCAGAAAUAUUUAUUCUGAAUAAUACUUUUAAAUGCAUACAUAUACAUAUAUAUAUAUGUUUCAGUAUUCCUCGGAAAGAUUAACCCAAAUUGCCAGAAGAGAAAUGAUUAAUCGAGCGAAAUUUUAUAUAUAUGGAAGACAACGAUACGGAAAAGAACUUAUAAAAACCUUAUCUUCGGGGAAUCGAAUAUAGAAAAAUAAGGAAUCGAUUAUUUUACUUACAUGUCUACUCUACAUAUCUGAGCGUUAAAAAUUGUAACGCAUACAUGUAUACCACGAGAGAAAGAGACAUCUAUCUCAACAUCCGUAUUCUCCUAUCUGCGCAUAUUUUUAUCAUCGAUCUCCUUCACGGCUCAUCAUCGGAUUAAUAAAUCUCGAUACACGCAAGUCCCCGCGAAGAUCGAUGAUUUCUGGCAAGUAUCCGCGGCGAAAGUAUGGCAGAUCAAUUUCGCGAUCGAGCCGCCACGCGAUGCGUGACCGACUCGAAAGCGAGCAUGUUUUUUUCCCCGAUCAAUUACGCUUCUUUAAUCUGGUCUAUCUUCCUUUUCUUAUUCUUUUUUCUUUCUCUUUUUUCCCCGUGCGCACCAAUGUCUAUCAAUGUUUUUAUCCGAUCUCGCCUCUGGACAUACGCACUACGGCUUACUAUUCCGUUUCCAUCUCUGACAGAGGCGGUUCUGAAAACUUUCUAGCGGGCAAAAAGUCGUCCCAUUCGAAUGCUCGUUGGAAAUUCGGCAGCGAGUUUUUUGCACCAAGUUGCGGUAUAACGAACAGCGCGGUGCACACGGUAGACGUAAAUGGUUUGCUUCUUCCUUUUUCUUCCUUUUUUCUCGGAGGAGAAUUUAUUGAAUUAAGGUGACCUCCUUUUCAUUAUGACGCAUCGUUGUUGUCGUCUAUUUUCAGCGUCUUUCGUUUCAGAUUUGCAAGAGUUUUUAAAUUUAUACGGAUAAAUAUCUGUGUAAAAAACGUUACUUCGCAAGUAGCAUCGAAAACGUUAGAUAUUCCUCGAGUAAACUCUAAUUAUAGUUCAUAGUUCAUGGUACGUAUAGCUUAUUAUUAAAGUUGUAACAUUAAUUCCGCAAUCGUGUUUAUAAAUAAGGAAAAAGAAAAAGGAAAAGAAGAAGCGUAAACUUUUAAAAGAUAAAACUCUUCCAUAUUAUUUUAUGACGUCUCCGCGUCAUCCGAACGAAAUAGAGAACGAUAAAAUUUAACACGUUACACAAGUUCUACAUUACGUUAGAUAAUAGAUAUCGUUAUUGUUACACAUCUAGAUAAAAUUACACCAUUAAGAAAACCUCGUAUCGUUGUGCAACGUAAACGUGUUACACGGAAUAUAUUUUCAAACGUGCGUAUAUAUAAACGUGUUUCGAGCAUAUUUUCAAACAUAUGUUUCAUAAUGCAUCACGACUUUUUUAUGUCGUGUCAUCAUAUUUUCUCUACCAGUGUUCUCUACUAGUAGAAUCGCCUCUCUGCGUGUAAAAUAAAAUAUUACGAUGACCAACAUUGUGAUGGCCAACGCGUCGAAUAUUACUGUCUAAAUCGUUUUCGCAAAAAAAGAAGAGGACAAUGAUUCGAUAAAUAAUUCAAAGUAACUUCAUCGGUUUGGAAAGAGGUAUUACAGUGCGCGUUAUUUAAUCCGCUGGCGUUCGUCGCGCAGAAAAUAGACCGUGUCGACGAGCGUGCUAUUAAUAGACGUUUUUUUGGACAAGCGUCGUAAAGAUAUCGCCCAACGUUGCCAAAUUACGAGCAGCACAAUUUAUCGCGAAACAAAAUUGUGCGAUUCCAGGGCACGAAGGCCGACGAAGAAACUUGGCACGCGGAUCCUCACCGCGGGUAUGAAUGAUAAAAUAUUAAUAGAAACGUGUGCAGAGUCGAGCGGGGAACGGUAGUCGACGGUGUUUUCCAGAUUGAAAAGCAACCUUGACCCACUGGGAGGAGGCCACGUGGAGUUGUGCUAUCAGGAAAUCGUACUUCGCGGUAUAUAUCUUUCCGGAAUUAUCUUGUUUAUCGAUUUCCUUUUUUUAUUAUUCGAUUUAAACGAGUGACAAUAAGGGAUCGGCAUUCUGUGCUCUGCAUAACGACGAACGGAAUGAUGUAAUCCGAUCCUCUUAUUAUGAAUUCCGCUCAUCGCUACGCUCCUUUUUCUUCUUUUUUCUUUUUCGUUCUUCGCUUAUUCCCCCGUAAAAGGAUGUUUACAAAUGUCGACGAAUCCGAAAUUUUGUUACGAAUUUUUCUAGAUAGCAAAAUAAUCGACCUCGCUCUCUCUCAUUUUAUCCUCGUUUCCAUAUGUAAAAAACCUCGUUGAAUAAAUCAUAGGAUAAUCCUGGCGCGCUAAUGGAACGGCGGAGAGUUUAGAGUUGGAAAGGAAGGAAAGAAGAGGCGUGAAUUCCAACGUAUCGAAGAACGGUGACCCCGCUAUAAUAGGGGAAAGGGAAAGAAAUACCUGCAGAUAGGAAUAGCAGGAUCAUCGAUAGGUCAGCGUUUCGAGAUCGCGUUUCAGGACCGACGGACGAUCGAUCGUUUGGCGAUCACCUACAUUUUUCGCCCGCGAUUCCAAGAAACGAUUCCCCCCUGUUGGUAAACGGAUCACUAAGGCGACAGCCGUCGUUUUAUUUCCCAUCCCGGGAGACAGCCAGUGUCAAUCGAAACGGAGUCGAAUCGAGCCGAGUGUACCCGCUCGAUGGAAGCGCAGCAGCGUGGCUCGGGAGUAUGGACCUUGCGAGCGGUCAAAGUCGUGGCCUACUUCACUUCCUGCCUUCGAAACUUUCUCCUCGUGGCGUCGUUCGUGCGUUCACGAGUGCCAAGGCCUAGCCAUGGGAUCAAGUUCAACGCUUGCUCCCAACGUAUAAAUAAUUCCCUGAUCGAACAAUCGCGCCAAUCUGUCCGCGUGCGGAAAUUACGCACGGAAUUAAAGACUCUUCGAAACUUUUUUUCCAACUCGGAGAGUUAGAUUUUCCGUCUUCCUCUAUUCCUCUUCCUUCCCCUUCUCCAUCGCCUAAUUAUUUCAUGCGCCACGCUCUUCGUGGCAAUAUGGAGAGACUCGGCAGACCCGUCGGAUCUCGAGAAAUCAUUCGGUCGAUUUGUCGAUCGAUCUAUCGUUUCGAGUCUUCUGAAGAAAUUCGUCGAUUUUGAUGCAAAGGUAUAUCGUUGUAACUUCUAACGUAUCAUUACACGGUAAAAUUUUUUCGAAGCAUACGAGAGAGAUUAUUCGAUCGAAAUAUUUCGAAAUCGCGCGUGGUUUGAUUUUGAAAGCGAAUAAUUUCAUUUACCGAUCGGGAUCGCGAUAAUCUGAAAGCAAUCAAAGAAGAAACGAUUCUUCUCAAUUCUUCUCGCAUGCGCGUAGGAUGCGCAACUAAAAAGUAUUAUUUGGGACGUUCCAUUGGCCGAGUAUCCAUCGCAUCCGAGUAUGGGCCACGAUCCAUAAACCGUGUAUACGAACCGUGCACUGAACGCAUUAUAUUUACGUUUGGUAAAAAAUUCUAAAACUCGCCGCCUCUUUAUCGAUCCCGCUAUCUAUCUCGCUCCACAGCCACGUUAAUAAGAAGAAGAAGGAUCGGCCCAAAAAAUAUAUUUUCCAAUUGGCGAAUUAUUUCGAGUGUAAUUAAAAGGCGAGAAAAUAAUGGGAAGAAAGAAGGCCGAGGGUCGCCGUUUCCCAUAUUCUCUUCUGCUCGCCCAGCUAUCUAUAUCGAAAUUCAUUUUCGUAUCCCGCUCGCCGCGAUCGCCAUGUUCUGAUUACUCGAGGAAUCAGAGCGUCCUCCAUAGACGGCCGCAGUAGAUUAAAUUUUAGCAAGCCAUCAGUAUGUUUCUCGUAAUUAGCCACCGGUGAAUGGAUCCACGGCAUCCGGAAUAUUUUUCUUCGAGCAGAAGAAGAAGGAGGAGAAUAAGCGCAGUACGAAUAACGUGUAUUAAAAACGAACAAAAUUCAUUUUCGAACGUUCAAACGGAAUAUAUCGGCAGACGAGUAAUCGAUAAUUGGUUAAAGUUUCAAUAAUCGAGUAAAUUUCUGUAAAUUUUCUAAGGAGCGUUUAAAUUUCGAUUUUACAAUAUCUCGAAAAUAUCCAUUUUAACUUAAAUCGUUAUGAAUUAUCGGUAAGAUUUUUGUUUUUGUUUAUUGGAAAUUGGCGCAACGCGACGAUUUUUUCAAUAAUUUUUAACGCGUUCCACAUCGUUCCACGCGAUAAGAACGUAUGAAAAGUAGAAACUUUCUACUCUUUUUUUCUUUUUUUUUAAACUUUUAUAUCAAUUUUAACGUUCACGCGCGCGAUACGUACUCGCCACCUCGCCAAUCAUCGAUAUUUAUGGACCGAUUUUAACCUAUCUAUUGUUAAUAAUAAUGGUCUUAACUU